AUGCGUUACCGGCUGCGGACCACCACUCCUAAAUCUAAGCCUUCCACUCACAAACUCGUCGCAGAUCUCUCCGAUCUCAUCCCAUCGCCACCAUCACCAACGGCUUCCAGACCGCAGCCGUCGACCUACUCUGGUGCACCCCAGAUGCAUCGUUGCAAACCCGGUCGUCACUGUUGCCAAUCACCGCGUUGUUCACCCAUUCAUCGCGAAACCUCACAUCACUCCAACAUCGCCGCCAUUCAACGUAUUCUUUCUAUGCUUUUAACUGACUUUGAUUGUGUUGUUAUCACAUGUUUUGGGUUUUGGACGUUUGAAGAUUAG